rnacentral:rRNA from 1 species
UACGAAGGGUGCAAGCGUUGUUCGGAUUUAUUGGGCGUAAAGCGGGUGCAGGCGGAUAAGAAAGUCAGAUGUGAAAUCUCGGGGCUCAACCUCGAAACUGCGUCUGAAACUCCUUGUCUAGAAUCUCAAAGAGGGAAGCGGAAUUUCGCAUGUAGGAGUAAAAUCCGUAGAGAUGCGAAGGAACACCAGAGGCGAAGGCGGCUUCCUGGUUGAGAAUUGACGCUGUAGCCGAAAGCGUGGGGAGCAAACAGG